UAUAUUUGAGAGCAAAAUAUCGGCACUGCAAUCAAAAAAAUGUUUUAUAAGUAAAAUAAAUUUGAUUAAAAAUGUAUUAAUGCGAAUCCAAAAGUUUUGCUCGCUGUUGAGCUGAAUCUCGUGGGCAGGACCUAUGCUGAAAUAUGUAAGACACGUCUCUAUUGGCCACUGUAUAGUUCCAACGUUGAAUUCAGAGACUGUAAAGGUUGAACCCCAUUCAUUUUCAGGCACGCUUGCUGGUAAGUUGAUGAAAUGACUGCAUUUUUUGACAUUUUAACGCAUUAGUGGACUGUGGCAAUGUGAGUGCUACCGCUCAGUAUAAGAGCUAGAGAUAGAGACCAGACUUUGUUUGAGCGAAAGUUCGUUCAUUUAUUUUUCCAGCCGACACACGGCUUUCGGUUUACAUACACAAAAUUACUAAAUCAAACGGAGUUCGCAGUGCAGCAGUUCCCCGUCUCCAGCCAGCUCCCGUCUGCCUCCGGAGACCGCCUUUUGAGCACCCAGGCUCACUGUCAAGGGCUGACAUGUGAAAGCAUGGGAGACUAGCUUUGAUGACCUAGCAAGCCAGCUAUCUAUAAAGGAUCCAAAAAGCAACAAGUCUGAGGUUUGUGAGCGGCAGUCGUGACAGCAGAGCCCAUAUCAGGCACUACCAACAACAGGAGUGGAAGUCCAUGGGUCGGGGAACAGACUGGACCUUUAUCCUCUCCCUGGACAUAUUAUAUAAUAAAAUCUUUUGUUGAAUGCAAUUGGUUACCUUGUAUAUUAUGUACUAUUGACCAAACUUCUUUGUUGGCUUAAAUUGAGCAGUUGCUGGCAUGAUUGAUAUUUAGAUUAGAUUCAACUUUAUUGUCAUUGCACAAAGUACAAGCACUGAGACAACGAAAUGCAGUUUAGCA